GUUGUAGCGCAAUGAAAAUCGCUUUCCAAAGAAUUGGACUUCUAAUCCAAAGAUCGUGAGUUCGAAUCGCACCUGCGAUG